ensembl:lncRNA
AGAUCAUUCAUCCGACUAAAUCUGUCCACUUCGUCCAAGCCGAUCUCUCUAGAAACCCUUGAACACAUCUUACUAAAUCCUGCCUCCAGGAGGAAUGAAUAAGCAACAGUGGCCUGCUGGCCUAACAGCCUCUGCCCGGUGUCUGGCAUCCAGAGACUGUUCCUGGCUGACCUUUUGGAGAAUGUCCAACCCUGAGAAAAUGGAAUCCAAAAGAAGAUACAGAAUCAGGCUCCAGGUUUUGGAGAUUGCACCACAUUGGCCACUGGAGUUAAAUAUGUUCAUAUCCAUCGGCUCUGUGCUCUGUCACGCAAAAUAUUAAAAUGAAAUUCAAGG